AAGGAUCAUUAAUGAAUUGUCCAGCUUUGCUGGACUUCUUUCCUGCCUUAGCUGUUGCAAUUUGCAAUGGCUUUGGCAACCCACACCAUGUGCACUGUACCUCUCCUUUGGCAGGUUUUGGCUCUUUUGAACCCACGCUGUGGAUUCAGUAUGAACCGAACCUGCUAAGAGGGGAGUCACCCAUAUCCCAAUUAGGUGUAACUUAGUUGGAUGGGUUGCCUCCCCCCUUAGCAGACCUGUCAAGGGUUUUCACACAACAUACUGUUACCGUGGACUGUACCAAAUAUAAACAAAUAAAAACAACUUUUAACAACGGAUCUCUUGGCUCUC
rnacentral:misc_RNA from 1 species